AAAAAUAGAUCGAGUUUGUUAUCAGAUGCUUGAGGAAAAUAAUAAAAAAAAAAACAACGAUUGAAGUUGGGAAGAGAUGAUAAAUUUUUUAGAUCUAUCAUCAAAGCGAUAAAUAUAAAUAUUUUGAAAUAAACAUGCAAGGAAGAAUAGAUAAUGCGAUAUAUCGAGUUUGUUGUACCAUAGAAUCAUGGAGUUGAACGUUGAAUCGCCUUAGAGAAUACGUCGAGGGAGAAUGUCGUCGUUGUCGUCGUUGUCGUCGUCGACGUCGACGACAACGACGACGCUUGCGCGAGAAUAACGAGCGAUUUCAUUCUCGUUUCCGUAGCAGCCACCUCGAUAGAUGGCCUUCGUUCGAACAACGAUGGACUAGCAAAAGGAUAAGAAAAAUCAUUUCGGAGAGGAUUUUUUUGUUAUUGGAAGAUGAUCUUUUCAAAAUAUAAACUUCUACCUUCUUAUACGAUCUAUAUGGAAUGACGAUCCUUAAUAUCGUCCGAGGCGAUCGAUUAUUUUGAAAAAUAUGUUGUUACGUCAAAAUGAUCGAUUAAAUGCAUCGGUCUUAAUAAUCGCUUGUGUAUUUGUGGACAAAGAAGACGAGAAUGUGCUAUGAUGACUGGCACGAUAACAUUGAGACGAUAACGAUGACGAUGGCGAUGAUAACGAUGAUCGAUAUACAGAAAUGGGACGACUUGUUUGGGAAAUUGAAGUGGAACGUUGGAUCGACGACGGGAGUACGCGCGAUAUCACAGCUUCGAGGGAUCGUAGUUCUCGAAGGACCACCUCUGCCGGGGUUCAGACGGCGAACAUUCCUCCAUCAGCAAUCGUUGCUUGCUUUCGGUGAUUGCCAAACAUUUGUCGCUACUACCGUGCCUGAUCUGCUUCGUCUAAAACAUAAAUAAUAGAAUCAAUCAUAAAUUUUCAAAAAGUAUUCUGAAAGAAAUCGCAUCGUACAGAAAAGUAAAAGAGUAGAUUUAUUUCUUUUUUUUUUUUUUUCCUUUUUAAUAUCGUAAUAAGCUCGAAGAAAAAAAGAAAGAAAAAAAAAGAAAAGAAACAAAAAAUAAAAGAAAAUUAUACCUGAGAAUUAUAAAUCCAUUGUUGAUUUCCUUUACUCCCGUGACAAGGAUAAAGAAUGACAUCCUGGCCGCUGUAAUCCAGACAGGAUUCGUCUCUACGGAUUUCACCGAUCUUGCUCAACAUCCAGUACUGCGACAAAGGAUCAAUGUUAAAAACCAAUCCGAUAGAUAUUAUCCAGAAUCGAAAAGCGAAAGAUUUGUUAGUGCUGAUAAAACAAAAGCACAAUGAUUCCAACAACGAAAAAAGUUUUGAAUUUAUAUACAUUCACUUUGUAGCUGAUGAAAUAUAUAUAUAUAUAUAUAUAUAUAUAUAUUGUCGACGAUACUGUCAACUUUUUGAUAAAGAAAUUAGCUUCUUUGAAAAAACGAGUUUGAAAAUUAACACUAAGAGAAAUAGCGUUAACAUGCGGGUAUUCCUUUCUCUCUGGUAGAUUUACUUUUUCCUUUCGUAUGAAGUCGGAUUACGAAGUACAACGUCAAAGCGUUGCUAAUCAGUACCAAUCGUCGAUAAUCGAAUCCGAUGGUCCUCGAAAUUGCAUCGAUUUACACGAGCCCCUACGUUCAGUUUCCGUUUGUGCAAUUCCAACCGAUUGGAAUGGAACUUCGGUAAAACGAGCGUACGAAUUCCCGGAAAUGUCGAGUUCUUCUUCAAAGGCGAUGUACCAUCGAAAGUACGACAGGGAUUUUCCUUUAGAAAGUAUAUUGCGUUUGGAACAAGAUUAAACAUAAAAAAAAAAAAAAAAAGAAAAAAAUAUAUAAAAAAGGAAAAAGAAAUUGAUAUGUUAAUGUAUACCAUAGCAAUUGAUAUUUUAUAUCGUUGUCGGAAUCAUUUUAAUUUACGUACAUGAUACACAGAGAUAAAAAUAGACAAAAAAAAAGAGAAAACGAAAAAGAGAGAGAAAGAGAAAGAGAGAGAGAGAGAGAGAGAGAGAGAGAGAGAAUGAGAGAGAGAGAAUGAGAGAGAGAGAGAGAAAGAGAGACAGAUAGGGAUGAGGAAGAGAGUAAGUACAAUAGAAACAAUUAGAAUUUACAAGCUUUUGGGAUAACGAGAAGCAAGAAAUCGUGGCAAGCAUGCAUUAUACCGAGAUGUUAUUAGCCAUGCGUCACACUCUCUAUGCUUCGUGGAUAGAAAGGAAAUGUGUCGGCAAAUAUCAUUAUGCGUGCGCGACAAUAUAAUUUCGCUAACGAGAUUGCACAUUUGAUCGUCGACGAGCCGUUCGUCGUACAAUUAUUAAUUAAUAACGCGUUUAUACGUGGACAUUGUUGUCGGUAGUUACAAGAAAAAAAAAAAAAAAAAAAAAAAAAAAAAAAACAAACAAAGAAAACCAAAAAAAGGAAAAAAAUAGU